rnacentral:rRNA from 1 species
GUCUAUGGCCAUGCCACCCUGAACGUGCCCAAUCUCAUCUGAUCUCGGAAGCUGAGUCGGGCCUGAUUAGUACUUGGAUGGGCGACCACCUAGGAAUACCAGGUGCUGUAGGCG